rnacentral:lncRNA from 1 species
AUGAGGUCUUUUUUCUCCCGCAGUGGUUAUGGGCCAGUUUCCCAUCUCUUCUUCCAAAGAGCCCAUCUCUGGGUGUUCAGAGAAUCUAAUUCACGCACCAUUUGGUUUGGGAAGAAAGACCUGUGGAAGAGGCGGGGCUUUCAGCUGGAGCCUUUCUCCCAAUCCUCCCGAGCUCGCCCAAGGCUCCCCACCCACACUGGGUGGGAAAACCAUCUAGCGAGAGUUUCACCGCUCAUUUCGCAAAUGGUAAGUUCCUUCCGCCUGGUUUGCUCUGUCCUGUGUCCACGGACCCUCUCGGCCCCCGGGCCUGAUCGAGGGUCUCUAACCCUGUCAGAUGCUCCCUCUCCGUGGCAGAGGGCUGCGGGGAAGCAGCCUGGGCACGGGAGAACCUGGUCGAUCUCCCGAAACCUUGUUUUCUCCCAUAACCCAGAAGGUUUACACAACACCUUCUCUUACGUGUUCUCACUCUGCCCUCAGGCUGACCUUGAGAGCAUAUCCCCACUUUACAGAUGAGCCCCUUAAAGCCCAGAAAGGUGAACUGGGGAGUUCCCAUUGUGGUGCAGUGGUAAUGAACCCGACUCGCAUCCAUGAGGAUGCGGGUUCCAUCCCUGGCCUCGCUCAUGGGGUUAACGAUCCAGCAUUGCUGUGAGCUGUGGUGUAGGUCACAGACGUGGUUUGGAUCCCACAUUGCUGUGGCUGUGGUGUAGGCCUGCCACUGCAGCUCCAAUCGCUCCCUAGCCUGUAUGCUGCCGGUGCAGCCCUAAAAAGCCAAAAAAAAAAAAAAAAAAAAAAAAAAAAACGGGACUUGUCUAAACCCAGGAUCCCUGGCUACAGUGUGCCUCCUGCCCAGAUAUUCAGUUGUCCUGCACCCACCUGGGGAUUCUGUUAUGACCCCUGAACCCCCACCCCCAACCUGGCCUUGGUAUCUGACUGCCCAGACUCCUCUUCCCGCCUCUGCUCUCAGCCCCCCGUCCCAGUGGGGCCGGGUUUCUGGUGUUCUCUGAGCCUGCCAGGUGGUGGGUGGGCUUCUGGGAGACCCAGCGCCCCGCAUGGGUGUUGUAGAAUUUGUGAUGCCUGCUUGUGUGCAUUUAUCUGGGUAAGAAUCCAGUUUCGGAGUUCCCGUCGUGGCGCAGUGGUUAACGAAUCCGACUAGGAACCAUGAGGUUGCGGGUUCGGUCCCUGCCCUUGCUCAGUGGGUUAACGAUCCGGCGUUGCCGUGAGCUGUGGUGUAGGUUGCAAACGCGGCUCGGAUCCCGCGUUGCUGUGGCUCUGGUGUAGACCGGUGGCUACGGCUCCAAUUAGACCCUAGCCUGGGGACCUCCAUAUGCCGCAGGAGCGGCCCCAAGAAAUAGCAAGAAAAAAAAAAAAAGAAUCCAGUUUCAUCAGCUCCUCAAAGUCAAUGGGGUCCCCCCGCAAAAAAAAGGGUUAAAUUAAUUUCAGACAUUCGUUCCUUCCCCCAAAUGCCCUCUCCACCCCUCUCGACCCAGGUAAUGCCACGCUUCCUAAUUUUUCU